ensembl:misc_RNA 7SK 7SK RNA
AGAAAUGUGAUCAGGCUGUGACAUCUGUCACCCCGUUGAUUGCCUAGGUUGAUUUGUCUGAUCUGGCUGGCUAGGCGGUUGUCCCUUUCCUCCCUCACCACUCUACCUGAGUCCCUCUGGAAGUUUGUGCUUGGUUGAAGAGGACCGCCUUCCCUGAAUAGAGACCUACAGGUCUUCCUUCAAGGGCAUAUGAGUAGUUGCGCUCCCCUGCUAGAACUUCCAAAUAAGCUCUCAAGGUAAUAUGCUUAGAUGUAUAGCAUUUCCAUAACUGGUAAUGAUACUGUUUUGGGUGGUAAACAACUAGGCUUACCUAAGACU